rnacentral:rRNA from 1 species
UACGUAGGGGGCAAGCGUUGUCCGGAAUCAUUGGGCGUAAAGCGCGUGUAGGCGGCUUGGUAAGUCCGCUCUGAAAGCCCCGGGGCUCAACCCCGGGAGGCGGGUGGAUACUGUCAAGCUCGAGUCCGGAAGAGGAGAGUGGAAUUCCUGGUGUAGCGGUGAAAUGCGCAGAUAUCAGGAGGAACACCCGUGGCGAAAGCGGCUCUCUGGGACGGUACUGACGCUGAGACGCGAAAGCGUGGGUAGCAAACAGG